rnacentral:rRNA from 1 species
GAUGAACGCUGGCGGCGUGCCUAAUACAUGCAAGUCGAGCGAACAGACGAGGAGCUUGCUCCUCUGACGUUAGCGGCGGACGGGUGAGUAACACGUGGAUAACCUACCUAUAAGACUGGGAUAACUUCGGGAAACCGGAGCUAAUACCGGAUAAUAUAUUGAACCGCAUGGUUCAAUAGUGAAAGACGGUUUUGCUGUCACUUAUAGAUGGAUCCGCGCCGCAUUAGCUAGUUGGUAAGGUAACGGCUUACCAAGGCGACGAUGCGUAGCCGACCUGAUAGGGUGAUCGGCCACACUGGAACUGAGACACGGUCCAGACUCCUACGGGAGGCAGCAGUAGGGAAUCUUCCGCAAUGGGCGAAAGCCUGACGGAGCAACGCCGCGUGAGUGAUGAAGGUCUUCGGAUCGUAAAACGCUGUUAUUAGGGAAGAACAAAUGUGUAAGUAACUAUGCACGUCUUGACGGUACCUAAUCAGAAAGCCACGGCUAACUACGUG